CAUCUCAUAGCCACCCAAGUAAGCUGCACCAUAUAAGUGUCACAAACAAGCUGUUCAUUCUCUGGGACCUGUAUGUUUAUUUAUUUAUUUUGAAAAUGCUGGGACCUUUACAUUGAUUCAGCAAUAAUUUGGCAAAAAAUCUAGUCAAUCAAAAAUGUGAUCUAGGGGUCUAGAUAAAGUAUAAUUUCAUAAAUAUUCACCCACCAAAUCAAUCAAACAUUUUGAUCAGAUUUUCUAAAACAUAUAUUGCUUUGGAGCUGCCUCUUCAAACCAACAAGUUCAAUAAAUGGCAUACAGAAAUAGCCAAAGUUCUUCUAUCUUUCAAGUGUUUACUUUAAAUCCUCUGCCAUAUCCAGUACUCAUAAUUCUAUCAGUUAUUUCAAUCUUUCUAGGUAUUUCCUGGUACUAUAGUUAUGAAGAUGUACUUGAAGAAGCAGAAGAACAAAUUAGUUGGGUAGUUAAAGCUUCACCUAUAGUUCUACUAAUCAUCGUCCAGUGGCUCUCAACUAUCGAGAAUCCGGAACGUUUAUUUGCACGUUCACCGUACGAGCGCCGACGUAGGAUUCAUAAUAUUCCGUCUGAGGGUGCCCAGCCGUGGAUUGUCGCGGCCAUAAUUGUUAUAUUGCUCGUCAUGGUUUCUUACCAAUCUACUUUCCAGGAUGGCUGGUUGAUCAGUUAAAGAGAACGUGUUCAUAUCUACUCUGGGUUCGAAAUUCUUGCUAAGGUUGUAUCUGUGUUUUUCGAAUGGAUUAUUACUUGUGAAUUGAAGUGAUCAAGAAUAUGACUACCACAGAAGUCCAGAUAACAGAAGUCCAAACCAGUGAGACCGAAUGGACAGAUGACUGCAGGUACAAAAUAAUAAGCAAAAGCAACACAAUCCACAAAGCCACACCCCAAGACGAACUCCCCGCUUCAUAAAUUAAGUCAUGUUGAUCUUGUUCUCUCGGAAGCAGAUCGUCAAAGAUUGAAGAAGAACUCAUAGUAGACCUUACAAGGAUUAUCAACAAGACCACUAGAAAGAGCAAAAUCUCGAAACUCGAUUUCACCUGCUCAGUUUGAUGUUUCUGUUCGUUACGGAUUGAAUUUGAGAGGGACAUGAAGAAGAUGAUGAUGCCAAAUAUAGCAAUUAAAGGAAACGGAGGAAGUGAGACUGAUGACAGUGUUCGUGCUGUCCAUCCUUCUUUCCAUUCUGCACCUCUUGCCCUUAAAUUGUCUCUUAAAAUCCAAGCCAUGUGUGCAUAUAUUUUUUGAAAUACAGGAGAUGUAUUCAGAUUAACUAAACUUAUGAGGUGUGCUGGUAUGCAACGGAAGUACAUAUGAUGAGGAUAAUUUAGUUAGGGGUUUUGUGUUUAUAUAGGAAAACGAGGAGUCGGGUUAAUGUUGCUUACGUUGGACUAUGCACGGUUAAGUUGGCAUAAAUGGCCGAGCUUGAUCUGAUCAAGAUUCAAGAUAUGAAGAUUCCUGAUUCUUCUUUGAA